AACAGGAUUAGAUACCCUGGUAGUCCACGCCGUAAACGAUGAGUGCUAGGUGUUGGGGGUUUCCGCCCUCUGUGCCGAAGGUAACCCAAUAAGCACUCCGCCUGGGGAGUACGGCCGCAAGGCUGAAACUCAAAGGAAUUGACGGGGGCCCGCACAAGCGGUGGAGCAUGUGGUUUAAUUCGAAGCAACGCGAAGAACCUUACCAGGGCUUGACAUCCCGCUGACCGGUGUAGAGAUACACCUUCCCUUCGGGGCAGCGGUGACAGGUGGUGCAUGGUUGUCGUCAGCUCGUGUCGUGAGAUGUUGGGUUCAGUCCCGCAACGAGCGCAACCCUUGUCGUCAGUUGCCAGCACAUGAUGGUGGGCACUCUGGCGAGACAGCCGGUGAGAGCCGGAGGAAGGUGGGGAUGACGUCAAAUCAUCAUGCCCCUUAUGUCCUGGGCUACACACGUGCUACAAUGGCCGGUACAACGGGCAGCGGACCCGUGAGGGGGAGCCAAUCCCAAAAAACCGGUCUCAGUUCGGAUCGCAGGCUGCAACUCGCCUGCGUGAAGCUGGAAUCGCUAGUAAUCGCGGAUCAGCAUGCCGCGGUGAAUCCGUUCCCGGGCCUUGUACACACCGCCCGUCACACCACGAGAGUCUGCAACACCCGAAGUCGGUGAGGUAACCUUCGGGAACCAGCCGCCGAAGGUGGGGCAGAUGAUUGGGGUGAAGUCGUAACAAGGUAACC
rnacentral:rRNA from 1 species